rnacentral:lncRNA from 1 species
GAUCAGAAUUGUUUGGCAUGGAGCCAGGGGUGGACAGCUGGCUAUAUAUUGACUACAAGGUCCAUCAACUCUCAAAAGCAGAAACUGAAGCAGGAAACACCCAAGUCCUCAGGAGAAGGAUGGGUGGGACAGAGAUGCCAAUUCCACUGGGAAAGAGUAGAAGGGAUUUUUAUUUUUGGCCAUUUUCCAAGUCUGAGCACAUUACGUGAUGUUCUCUGGACCGUGGAGAGAAUUAAAAUCAUCAUGCUCACUGAAGCUCCAGGACAGCAGGAAGGUGGGAAGUUGUGAAGCCCGAAUCACAAAAUGCCCCCUCCAGGUUAUCAGGCUCUGUGGCACUUCCUACACAUGAUGUCACUCAUUCCUCCCCGUGUUUCUGUGCUGGCGAGCACCACAAUUAGCAGACCUGUUACAGAGGGUUGGAGAAAUUUGUCUGAAGUCACACAGCCAACAGAUGGUGGAAUCAAGACUCAAACCAGGUCUUCUGACUCUAGUAGCUAUGCUUGAUAAAUAGCUAUAACUUUUAACAAAAGGGACAGUGGGGGACAUGUGAGUAUGGGGGUGUGGGUGUGAUGGGUUGAUGGCCGAAAGCUUUCUGGGACCCUGCUACUCAUGCUAGAUUUUCUGGUCCUGAUUAGCUGCUCCAUGGCUGCCAGGAGCUGUUAUUAUCACUCACUCCUAUGCCCUUGUCACUGGGCCUGUGGGGACCUGCCCUUCCUUCCUGCUCUUGGCCCUGUGAUGUUGACAGCUGUACUGGGAAAUCACAUGCUGGCUGCUGCCACAAUUACCAGACACAGACUGUAAGUGCCUCCCUGGACGUCCUGCCACCCUGUCUCAUGCCGGCCCCUACACAGGUGCUCAGGCCACGGCUUUGCUCCAUCUGUUUUACUUCUGUGUGGUAUGAAAAAGCCCAAAGUUUGCUGAAGAAGGAGAAAUGCGCCGAGAGAAUAAAAACAAUGAUGAUCAGAACAAUAAAAAUCAAUAAGCAACAUUUUCAAUGUGUUUUGCAAUCACCAAACACCAGACUCACUGCCUGGCCUCCAGUGUCUUGGAAGACGAGUUCUGUGACUCACUGUAAACCACACGAUAGGACUCAACUCCCAGACUCUGGCUUCAAACUCUAUCUUCUAAAAAUGCCUUCUAAAGAAAAGAUUUCUGUCUCAUCAGUCAGCUCAUCUGGCAUUUGAAAACCUCAAGCAGAAAUUCCCCAGGUCAGCAUUAUGCAUUCUCCAAGACCAAGCUUCUUCAAACAGAAACCAAAAACAAUGAAAACUAAAUACCAAUGGCUUCUGGCUUCUCUUCAGCGAUAACAAGUCUUCAUUCUUUUUCUCUGUUCCAUGUGAAAAGUUAUACCCCCAAAGGGGAGCUGUGGGCUUUCCAAUGGUGGAGCAGAGAUGGGGGCUUAGGGAACGAAACCUUCAGAAAUAACCUUCUCCUUCCUCCCUCUACCCACAUUGAGAACAUAUUCAUUUCACUGAAUUUAAAGUCAAUGAGACCAUAAAGGACCAGUUCUGUAUUUUGUUUUCUUAUGCUGCUGCUUCUAGAGCAAAACUAAAUAAGUGACACAUCAACUCUUUAAGGAUCUUGUUUCCAACGAGAGAACCGAGGAUACACGUUCUGAGGACAUUGGUUUAUUCAAGAUGAUGUGACAACUUUAGAAAAAAAAAAUCCCCUUAAUAAAAGAGGUUUAUAGGCCAAAUGGACUUCCCUUUCUGGUCUAAAUGUCAUGUUUGUGAAAGUGGUGUGGUAUAAAUAGCAAAGUGGGGAAACGAGAAAUUAUCCGUCCGCUGAAUAAAUCAGACUCUUAGCUGACCCUCCCUCACAAGGCUGGUGCUUUCUAAGCUCUCAGGUUUCCACUCAAACAUCACCUCUCAGGAGUCACCUUCUAAAAUCGCUCCUCCACUACUUUUUAUCCCCUUACCCUCCUCUUUAUUUGAGUAAUAGUAUUAUCACUAGCUGGCAUUUUAUUUUUGUUUACUUGUUUAUUAUCUGUUUCCUUCUACUAGAAGAUAAGCUCUUUAUGUGAAUGUGUCUCUGUUAUUGCCGUUUUCCUGGAAACUGGCUUCCUAAAUUCAACUCCCUAAAUAAACAUUUAGGACGCCACUUAUAAAUAAAACAAUUCUGUUUUCUCUACACAUGCUGGAGAAACUGUAGGAUCUGGAGAUACCAUUAAAGAUAAACAGGAGACCAAAGUUAGUUCAUUGAGAAGGAUUUUCCACUUCAGACACUACAAAGAGGGGUCUCCUCACUCAGAAUUUUUCUGUUUUCUCAGCAUCACAAGCAAAACACAGUAUUUGGGUAAGAAAAAAAAAAAAAA